UACGGAGGGGACUAGCGUUGUUCGGAAUUACUGGGCGUAAAGCGCACGUAGGCGGAUUGUUAAGUCGGGGGUGAAAUCCUGAGGCUCAACCUCAGAACUGCCUUCGAUACUGGCGAUCUUGAGUUCGGAAGAGGUUGGUGGAACAGCUAGUGUAGAGGUGAAAUUCGUAGAUAUUAGCUAGAACACCAGUGGCGAAGGCGGCCAACUGGUCCGACACUGACGGCUGAAGGUGCGAAAGCGUGGGGAGCAAACAGG
rnacentral:rRNA from 1 species